rnacentral:rRNA from 1 species
GAACCUGCGAAGGCAAGCGGAUCUCUUAAAGCCGUUCUCAGUUCGGACUGUAGGCUGCAACUCGCCUACACGAAGCUGGAAUCGCUAGUAAUCGCGGAUCAGCACGCCGCGGUGAAUACGUUCCCGGGCCUUGUACACACCGCCCGUCACACCAUGAGAGUCUGUAACACCCAAAGCCGGUGGGAUAACCUUUAUAGGAGUCAGCCGUCUAAGGUAGGACAGAUGAUUAGGGUGAAGUCGUAACAAGGUAAC